rnacentral:lncRNA from 12 species
UCCCCUAUCAGAUUUGAUGUGUGAGCACACAGCCAGAAGAGAGAAUAAUUCAUCAUCAAUACUGCCGGUAUAAAAAUUCCACAACCCAAAUUGACAUAUAACUGCCUCCCCGAGCGCAAGGCCCACAGAGUGAGUUGAUACAACCAUAGUACAAGUAUACCAAGUCACAUUUACACAACCUGACAUUUUGAUACUUGGGUCAGCGGGACAGCAAGGAGAACAGUGUGAUAGAGCAGAGUCAACAAGACCAGGAUUGAUGCUGCCUUGAACAUCUUAUCCCUUAGACCUUGGACAAAUCAUUUCAACUCCACAGGUCUUAGUGUUGAC